rnacentral:rRNA from 1 species
AGAUGAGAUUUCCCUUGGAGUUAAUCCAGUAAGACCCCUUAAAGAUGAUGAGGUUGAUAGGUCUCGGGUGGAAGCACGGCGACGUGUGGAGCUGAGAGAUACUAAUCGGUCGAGGACUUAUCCUAAA